rnacentral:rRNA from 1 species
AUUGAACGCUGGCGGCAGGCCUAACACAUGCAAGUCGAACGGAAGAACGGUGCUUGCUUGCGGUUCCAGCGGGGGACGGGCGAGCGAUGCAUGGGAAUAUCCCUGGCUGCGGUUUCGAACGGCCUGAAACAGGGGCUCUUACCCCAUACGCGCUGAGGGCCUACGUGGGGGAGCUUGGGAUCUUCCGCCAUUGGGCGAUCGUAUGUCGGAUUAGCUAGUUGGUGGGGUAAAGGCGUACCAAGGCGACGAUGCGUAGCUGGUCUGAGAGGAUGAUCAGACACACUGGAACUGAGACACGGUCCAGACUCCUACGGGAGGCAGCAGUGGGGAAUAUUGGACAAUGGGCGCAAGCCUGAUCCAGCCAUGCCGCGUGUGUGAAGAAGGUCUUCGGGUUGUAAAGCACUUUUGUUGGGGAGGAAAAGCAGUAAGUUAAUACCGUGCUGUUCUGACGUUACCAACAGAAUAAGCACCGGCUAACUUCGUG